CCCCAAAUAAAUGUGAAUAGUUAAGUUUUUAUUCACAAUUAUCGAAAGCAAAGUUUCUCGUACGAAUACUGACCCCCUCAAUAGUGAAUAACAGACGGACAGCCACACGGAAAAAAAACCAAACAAAUACUGAAACGGUUCACUUUCGAUCAAAAAUCAGAAAAAUGACAGACAUAUCACGUAUCAUGAUAACACUGUUAAAACUGUAAACUUG
rnacentral:lncRNA from 1 species